UACGUAGGGGGCGAGCGUUGUCCGGAUUUAUUGGGCGUAAAGAGCGUGUAGGCGGCUAGGUAGGUCUGCUGUGAAAACUCGAGGCUCAACCUCGAGACGUCGGCGGAAACCAUCUGGCUAGAGUCCGGAAGAGGAGAGUGGAAUUCCUGGUGUAGCGGUGAAAUGCGCAGAUAUCAGGAAGAACACCCGUGGCGAAGGCGGCAUCCUGGGCCGGUAUUGACGCUGAGGCGCGAAAGCUAGGGGAGCAAACGGG
rnacentral:rRNA from 1 species